UACGUAUGGGGCAAGCGUUAUCCGGAUUUACUGGGUGUAAAGGGAGCGUAGGUGGCAAGGCAAGUCAGAAGUGAAAGGCUACGGCUCAACCGUAGUAAGCAUUUGAAACUGAUGAGCUUGAGUUAAGGAGAGGAAAGUGGAAUUCCUAGUGUAGCGGUGAAAUGCGUAGAUAUUAGGAGGAAUACCAGUGGCGGAGGCGACUUUCUGGCCUUUAACUGACGCUGAGGCGCGAAAGCGUGGGGAGCAAACAAG
rnacentral:rRNA from 1 species